AGUGAACGCUGGCGGUAGGCCUAACACAUGCAAGUCGAACGGCAGCACAGGAGAGCCUGCUCUCUAGGUGGCGAGUGGCGGACGGGUGAGGAAUACAUCGGAAUCUGCCCAGUCGUGGGGGAUAACGUAGGGAAACUUACGCUAAUACCGCAUACGACCUUCGGGUGAAAGAGGGGGAUCGCAAGACCUCUCGCGAUUGGAUGAGCCGAUGUCGGCUUAGCUAGUUAGCGGGGUAAUGGCCCACCAAGGCGACGAUCCGUAGCUGGUCUGAGAGGAUGAUCAGCCACACUGGAACUGAGACACGGUCCAGACUCCGACGGGAGGCAGCAGUGGGGAAUAUUGGACAAUGGGCGCAAGCCUGAUCCAGCCAUACCGCGUGGGUGAAGAAGGCCUUCGGGUUGUAAAGCCCUUUUGUUGGGAAAGAAAUCUUUCAGGCUAAUACCCUGGGAGGAGGACGGUACCCAAAGAAUAAACACCGGCGAACUUCGU
rnacentral:rRNA from 1 species